UUCUGAUUUUGUUGCGCACGCGUGCUCGGCCUCAAGCCGCCAUUUUCAGUUUACCGCAACCGAUGGAUGUUGUGUUUUGGAAAAUCAUUGACGGUGUUGAUACAUAUGCAAUGAGCAUUCUUAAAUGACGGAACACAACUGUUGCUGUCCGAAAUCAGCCUAUCAGCGGCCUAAAGAACGCCGUCAAGAGUGAAUCCUUGAAAAUAUGGAGAAAGCUCGUCGGAUCGAGUGAAACCAAAAGGAAUCGAGUGCGAAAAAAAGCGACCACCCAGCGCUCCACGCUAAAGAAUCGUUAUCGAUUCCUCCAAACUACAGGUCAACCCAAUGCGUUGGCAGCAUCUACGUCUUGCUUGCUCAGCGAUGGAUCAAAGAACGUAUUCCGGUAGCAGUUCGGUGUACCUGUUUCCUCAAGCUGUAACAAAUUUCCAACCGGAAGAAUCAACAAUAAAAGGGGAUGUUGCGCUGGAAGCUACAUCAUCCUCAUCUACAAAACUUCCGCCACAGCAACGUUUCGUCAACAGACAGCGUGGACCUCAACCUGGUAAAUAUAAACCAUUGGAUGAAGGCUACGAUUCCAUCGCACAUGGCAAAAAACGAACCAUUCCUGGCUGGUCCACCGAAGGCACACGGGUGACCAUGAUUUCGCUCUACAUGGGAUGUAGCGGAGACACCAGCUGCUCCGCUGUUUUGGAACGGCACGAAAAACAUGAAC
rnacentral:lncRNA from 11 species